rnacentral:lncRNA from 1 species
UAAAAGGUGCUGAAAUCAUCCGGUUCUAAGUUAACCCGUUAAAUUCUAAAUUGACUCGAUAUAUAAAUUUUAUCAGUUAUUGUUAGCUAUUCGUUUGAAACUUCAUUUUACCAAUUGAUUAAUGAAACCAAUAUUUUUAAAUUUUCAUAUUAAUAACCGAUUUCAUAAAGAGUGGAUUUUGAAAAUAGCCACUUUGGAAUAGUAAAUUUAAAAAUUACCUACUAAGAUAAAUAAAAAAAUUAAAAAAAAUUAAAAAAAAUAAAAAGUAGCCACACUACCCUUGCAUAUAAAAAUGGGUUAAUUGCAUAUAAUAACACGAACUUUUCCCGAAAUUCAUUUUUCCCACGAUCUUUAAAAAUUCUAUUUUUUAUCAAAUACUUUGACAUUUGUCCAA